rnacentral:rRNA from 1 species
AUGGCUGAACCAACUGGUCUUGCCGAGGCUUUGGAGAAGCUCGCUAAGAUCCUCGCGGAGUCCAACUCUGGGGCCAUCGUUCCUCGACAGGAAGUGGCUCAAAAGCUUGAAAUGUCGCCCCUGGACAUGAAGCUAGAGGGGGCAACAAAUUAUUUGAGCUGGUCCAGAAGGGCUUUGUGGGCUGUGGAGCAGAAGGAGCUUGAUGGCUAUUUGUUGGGCACCGUUGUAGAACCAAGGGACACGAGUAGUGCAGAUGGCAAGAGGUGGAAGGUCAUCCACUCUGUCCUUAUGGUGUGGUUGUUGAACUCCGUGGUGCCCUCCAUUGGACGCUCUGUGGAGGGGCUAUCCUCACCUGCUGAGAUAUGGAAGAUUCUGUCCACUCAAUACUCUGGCAAGGGCAAUGUCAUGCUCAUUGCUCAGAUUGAGGACAAGAUUAGGUUGCUGCGUCAAGAUGAUGGCAUGUCAGUGAUGACAUACGUGGCAGAACUGCAGGCUCUGUGGGCUGACCAGGAUAACUGUGAUCCCUUGGAACUCUAUGAUGCGGCUUCAAUCGAGUCAGGGCAUAAGUGGAUGGCACGCAGGCGUGUGCUGAAAUUUUUGGCUGGCCUAAAAGGUUGCUUUGAUGGCAGGAAUGCUUCCCUGUUGCACCAACCUAGUCUGCCUACCAUUCCUGAGGCUAUUGCAGCGAUGACUCAAGAGGAGGUGCACCUCUCCCUUGAGCAUGCAGACAUGAAGGUUGUGCCAGCUUCGACAUUUGCAGUCACUGAGCGCAUGGAGUGGGGAGAUCCCACCAAAUGUCAUAUCUGUGGGGAGGUAGGUCACUGGAAGAGAGAAUGUCCAACUCGUGGCAGAGGCAGGGGAUAUAACAGAGGGGGAGCAGGCAGAGGUAGAAGUGCUCGAGGCAGAGGUGGAUACUCAGAGACCUCAUGGAGCCAGGCUUCUAGAGGUAGAGGUGGCUACUCAGGACACUCAGGGGGUCAGAGGGCUCACAUGGCCGUUGCAGGAGACACUGGGACGUCCAAAGGCAAAGAUGUAGAUGAUGUUGCCUAUGGAGACUUUGCUCACUGGGCCUCCACUGAUGAAGGAGCGACAGACGAGCCAGACGGUUGGGACUGGCACCAGGCGUAG